rnacentral:rRNA from 1 species
UACGUAGGAGACGAGCGUUGUCCGGAGUUACUGGGCGUAAAGGGUGCGCAGGUGGCGGCGCGCGUGGGGGGUGAAAUCGCCCGGCUUAACUGGGCGGGGGCCUUCCAGACGGCGUGGCUUGAGCAGCGGAGGGGGACGUGGAAUUCCGGGUGGAGCGGUGAAAUGCGUAGAGAUCGGAAGGAACGCCCGUGGCGAAGGCGGCAUCCUGGACCGACACUGACGCUGAGGAGCGAAAGCCAGGGGAGCAAACGGG